rnacentral:snRNA from 1 species
GAUAUAUGCAAUGACAGAAG